rnacentral:rRNA from 1 species
UGGGGAAUUUUGGACAAUGGGCGAAAGCCUGAUGCAGCAAUGCCGCGUGUGUGAAGAAGGCCUGCGGGUUGUAAAGCACUUUCGGUAGGGAAGAUAAUGACGGUACCUACAGAAGAAGCACCGGCUAACUCCGUGCCAGCAGCCGCGGUAAUACGGAGGGUGCGAGCGUUAAUCGGAAUUACUGGGCGUAAAGGGCGCGUAGGCGGCUUGACAAGUCACUUGUGAAAUCUCUGGGCUUAACCCAGAACGGCCAAGUGAAACUGUCAUGCUAGAGUGCAGAAGGGGCAAUCGGAAUUCUUGGUGUAGCGGUGAAAUGCGUAGAUAUCAAGAGGAACACCUGAGGUGAAGACGGGUUGCUGGGCUGACACUGACGCUGAGGCGCGAAAGCCAGGGGAGCAAACGGGAUUAGAUACCCAAGUAGUCCCUGAGCGGGCUGGCAAGGCGCAU